UACGUAGGGUGCGAGCGUUGUCCGGAAUUAUUGGGCGUAAAGCGCGUGUAGGCGGUCCGGUAAGUCCGCUGUGAAAGUCGAGGGCUCAACCCUCGAAUGCCGGUGGAUACUGUCGGGCUUGAGUACGGGAGAGGCGAGUGGAAUUCCUGGUGUAGCGGUGAAAUGCGCAGAUAUCAGGAGGAACACCGAUUGCGAAGGCAGCUCGCUGGAACGUUACUGACGCUGAGACGCGAAAGCGUGGGGAGCAAACAGG
rnacentral:rRNA from 1 species